AUCUGCAUUUUAGGGCAAAUCAUUUCAGCCUCCCCAAUGACUGGUAGGUUUGACCAGAUUUGCAUUUUAGGGCAAAUCAUUUCAGCCUCCCCAAUCGCCUCCAUCCCUAUUCUCGUUCUCAACUUUCAACUUGCCCCUUCCUCUCUCUCUCUCUUUGCAACUGCAAACUACAAAAUCUACAAGAAUCAGAAAGUUCAAAACCCAUAUAUUUCAGUUUAGUCUGCAAGAAUCUAAAGUUGAAAACCUAUUACCUAUAUCAAAACCCAUAUCGGCAUAUCAUUUCAGAUUGUUCCGAAAAUCAAAACCCAUAUCUUUCAGUUUCCAUGGGCCGUUGUUCCAGUUCGGGUUCGCCGUUCACAAGCUUCAGCCGCUGUCUCUCAACUCUCAAGCUUCUCAGCAACUGCUAACUUGUAUGGUUAGCAUCGGGCCUUAACAUUUAACAAGAACAAGGUUCAAGAAACAUGUCUCCUCAGUCAUCAGGUCUCUUUUCUGGAAGAAGAUAGUUGAUGGGAAUGGGUGGAGUUGGCAGAAAGAAAAUAGAUAUGGGACGCAGCUGGAAAUCAUCCAAAUACCACCACCGUUCCCAUUGAAACGUCUCAGGAAGUUUCAGUCAGCCAACUCACAGUUGGUGUCAUUGACGGGGAAAAUCCAGACGAAACGGACAGAGUUGGUUGGAGUUGUGGAGACCAUGAGGUUGAAAAUAAACUAGAGAUAUGGACUGACAAUGAAAGCCUCAGGACAAAUUCCAUAAAUUGAAAAAGGUAGCGGUGCUUGAUCUUAAUGAUCUAAAUACUGCGAAGACACUCGUGAGGUCUUUGCGUAUGGUUUACCGUCCUUUUUUCCUUCACGUUGAUGCGAGUUGCUGACUUUUGCAAACGCGGGGAUACAAAAUAUCAAGAAAAUCGGUAUGGAAGAAGGUGCGAAAUCGCACUACCUGCUCAGGCAGGUUAAUGCUUCUCAGAAUGAACUAGAGAACUUGACGGCAGAGAGAACCAUACUGAAGAUUAAAAGGGACAAACUGAAGAGAAAGGUGUGUGACAUGGAGGAUAGGAAAGAUGAGAUGAGGAAAGAACAUGAUGGCCUGGCAGGAGAGGUUUUGGAAAUGAGCAAGAUAUGGGACGCAGUUGGAAAUCAUCCAAAUACCGCCAACAUUAUCCGUUCAGUCAGCUGACUCAUAGUUGGUGUCUUUCACGGGGCAUAUCCUUGAAUUGCAGACGGAAUGGACAGAGUUGGUGGGAGUUGUGGAGACCAUGAGGUUGGAAAUAAACCCAAAAUGGCCAGACAAUGAAAGCCUCAAGGAAAAAUUCCAUAAACUGAAAAUGGUGGGAGUUGUGGAGACAUGAGGUUGGAAAUAAACCAGAAAUGGUGCUUGAUCAGGGACGGAGCCAAUAAAGGCCCAGGGGCCACGUGCCCCCCUGAGUUAGCCAACAACCUAUAAUAUAUGUGGUGAUUUUUAAAAAAAAUUCAAUAUAUAUGAAAAAAUUUAUAUAGUGUCUCCCUCAAAUUUGUAGUUCUUAAAAUUAUAUUCUUAUUUUUUCUUUAUUUUCUCUUUUACUCUCACAUUCCUUAAAUUUUCUUAGUAGAAAAAGUCAUUUUUUUUUUUUCAAUUGAAAAUUUUUAAUUAUUUUUUAUUAGAGUUCUUUUUUUUUUUUUUUUUUUUUCUUUUUAUAUUUUAAUAAUUUUCUUCUUAUUUGUCUUUUUGAAUUUUAUAGUUGUUAUAUAUAUAUAUAUAUAUAUAUAUAUAUAUAUAUAUAUAUGUACUCCGUGCUUUUUUUUUUUUAUUUUGGCAGUGUGCCCUCCUUACUUGAAAUCCUGGCUCCGUCACUGUGCUUGAUAUUGAUGAUCUAAAUAAUGGGAAGACAUUUCAACCCAUUUGGAAACACAAUUCACCGCUACAAGGAUUUACUCAUAGCCAUAAGAAGAUGGAAAUGGUCCCAUGAAGUCGAUCCCCUACACAUCAAAAAUUUCAAUAAUGAGGAUGGGAGUGAGGGGCAUCAUGUCUCUCCUAGACAUGGAGCCAAGGUUUAUCAAGUUUGUAUUUUCACUUUUGUAGAAAAGCAUGCUAAGUGCUUACUUUUCUUGUAAAGGGUAUAGAUGCAUGACCAUUUUGUAAUUUUUUAAACUUUAGGGGUUUUUGUGUAAUUACUGUAAAGUAAUUAUUUUUCAUCUUAGGGACCAUUUUGCAAUUUAAUUUGGAUCGGUUGCCGCCGAACUUGUUUGGGGCAUAACUUUCUGCUUGGGACUCGGUUUUCGACGCCGUUUCUUCCGUUGUUCAUAUUUUCUUA